CAGGGCCAGAAAGGAAAGCCAUUCAACUUCUCAAGGCCCAGGGACUAUCACAGAAGAGGUGGGCAUGUAAGAUUGUAAGGGCCGAUUUUAAAAGAUAAAAUAAGUUCAGUUUCUGCAUAAAUUAAUCAUUAAUGUCAAAGACACACUGAUGCAAGACCAGCAUAUGGACCACUGUGUCAGAUUAGCAAGGUUUUCUUGAGGCAUUAACCAACUCCUUAAUAAAGGUGCUGGGAGUCAGCUUGCACAAGUUAAGUCGUUGAGGAAGGGGCUGCCAGUGAAAAAGCCAAGAUGGAGUCUGUCUGGCUUUCUUAGCUAAGGGAGAGUCAAUUCAGGUGGAAACAAGGCUAGGUGAUUAAAGGAAAGGGAGAGUCUAAGAACAGGGUUAGUAAAAAACAAGGUUGGGCAUUACAUUAUAAAAAGAUACAAACAUGCCUGUAUCUGAUUAUGUCUGACCUUGUACAUCUCAUGACAUCCGCAGUCAAUGAACAUGUCUAUUUUAGUCUCUGAAUAGGCCUGGAAAGGAAAGGUAUACACAAAUACUUGAUAAGUGGAAAAAAUAAAUGUUUGCAAUUUGGGUACAUACCAAUACCUUCCUUCUGUUUAUUAAUUGUUUAAGUUUUGCUUUUGUUGUAUGCAACUAAAUCAUGUUUAUGGUAUGCCUGUGUUCUGUUUUUUGCAAUUAUUUGACAUAAAUACACUGGUUUUGUUUUUAUUUUGUUUGUUUUAGUCUACCUUUCCUCAGAUAAUGAGAGCACUAUCUAAACAUGCAAUCUUUCAGGAGACAAAGUUGUGUAUUAUCCUUGUCUGCAGCCUUUGAACUUCAGAGAGAUGGUUACUUUCUGGCAUCUGAUAGCUCUCUCCAUUGUGAUUCUACUGAAAUAAAUCACUUCUGUCUUUAAUCAUGAUUCUGUAUCUGAACCAUUGGAGUCUACAACAAAUAGUAAUUUCCACAUGUGUUGUUUUCAAGGAUUUUCUUUGCUCUGCCCCACUUCAGCAAGUACUUUGUUAUUUAUGGACC
rnacentral:lncRNA from 1 species